GAUGAAGAACGCAGCGAAAUGCGAUAAGUAGUGUGAAUUGCAGAAUUCCGUGAAUCAUCGAAACUUUGAAUGCACAUUGCGCCUUCUGGUAUUCCGGAAGGCAUGCCUGUUCGAGAGUCAUUAACAACCGUUUCGAUCCCUUUCUUUCAGAAAUUACAAAGAGGAAAAGGGUUUGGUUAUGGUGGAGGAGGGAAAGGGAGCGUUUAGCCUGUAAAAAAAGAGGCUGUGUUCCGCCUCCCCCCCAAAAUUGUACAGGCGGUCGUGUGCGCCCACGCAUCGAGGUGUUGUAAAAGCUGCCACGGCACUUUUCACCUGUGCAGUGCGAGAUUGGCCAGCCGGUUUAAAAACCCCUCCAAACAAUCAAAGGUUGACCUCGGAUCAGGUAGGGAUACCCGCUGAACUUAAGCAUAUCAAUAAGCGGAGGA
rnacentral:misc_RNA from 1 species